rnacentral:tRNA from 1 species
AGGGAAAUAGCUCAAUGGUAGAACACGUGUUUAGCAUGCACAAGGUCCUGGGUUCAAGCCCCAGUAUCUCCA